rnacentral:rRNA from 1 species
GACGAACGCUGGCGGCGUGCUUAACACAUGCAAGUCGAACGCUGAAGCUCAGCUUUUGUUGGGUGGAUGAGUGGCGAACGGGUGAGUAACACGUGAGUAACCUGCCUCCUUCUUUGGGAUAACGCCCGGAAACGGGGGCUAAUACUGGAUAUUCACUGGUCUUCGCAUGGGGGUUGGUGGAAAGGGUUUUUCUGGUGGGGGGUGGGCUCGCGGCCUAUCAGCGUGUUGGUGGGGUGAUGGGCUACCAAGGCUUUGACGGGUAGCCGGCGUGAGAGGGUGACCGGUCACAUGGGGACUGAGAUACGGCCGAGACUGCUACGGGAGGCAGCAGGGGGGAAUAUUGCACAAUGGGCGCAAGCCUGGUGCCGCGGCGCCGCGUGAGGGAUGGGGGCCUUCGGGUUGUGAACCUCUUUCGCGCAUGGUCAAGCCGCAACAAUGGUUGUGGUGAGGGUAGUGGGUAAAGAAGCGCCGGCUAACUACGUG